GGUUCUAAUGCUUCUCUGCUUCUCGGACUUCUCCGAUCACAGGCUAGAAGAGACUGAUAUGGCAAUUUAACGAACUCUGAUCAGUGUUUCAAUUUGUAACACACGAAAGCAGAUGUAACCAGCUACUUCUCCUUGAAAUGGAGAAGCUUAAACUGCGGUUCCACAAUUACC